rnacentral:rRNA from 1 species
AACGCGUAAAUAAUCUACCCCUGCAUUUGGGAUAACCCACCGAAAGGUGAGCUAAUACCGGAUACGUUCUUUAGAUUGCGAGAUUUAGAGAAGAAAGGUGGCCUCUGAUAUAAGCUACUGUGCGGGGAAGAGUUUGCGUACCAUUAGCUAGUUGGUAGGGUAAUGGCCUACCAAGGCGACGAUGGUUAGCGGGUCUGAGAGGAUGAUCCGCCACACUGGAACUGGAACACGGACCAG